rnacentral:rRNA from 1 species
UACGGAGGGUGCGAGCGUUGUCCGGAAUCACUGGGCGUAAAGGGCGCGUAGGCGGCCUGAUAAGUAGGGGGUGAAAUCCUGCGGCUUAACCGCAGGGCUGCCUUCUAAACUGUCAGGCUGGAGCACAGUAGAGGCAGGUGGAAUUCCCGGUGUAGCGGUGGAAUGCGUAGAGAUCGGGAAGAACAUCAGUGGCGAAGGCGGCCUGCUGGGCUGUUCUUGACGCUGAGGCGCGAAAGCCAGGGGAGCGAACGGG